rnacentral:misc_RNA from 1 species
GUUUCGGUGCGGNNUGCGAGAGCGGUACCAAAUYGAGWCRWACUUCUGAAUACKKGGUAAAGCACWSAUUCCCAGCNUCAGACGGWGGGGGAUAAGCACUKCWUCGUCAAGASGGRAGCAGCCCAGRCCACCAGCUAAGGUCCCCAAAUCGACAUUAAGUGGUAAAGGAGGUGGGAGUGCACAGACAACCAGGAGGUUUGCCUAGAAGCAGCCAUCCUUAAAAGAGUGCGUAAUAGCUCACUGGUCAAGCGCUCCUGCGCCGAAAAUGAACGGGACUAAAUGUCGUACCGAAGCUGUGGAAUUCGAAAGAAUUGGUAGGGGAGCGUUCUGCCAUAGGGAGAAGCAUCAGCGGAAGCAGGUGUGGACGAAGCAGAAGUGAGAAUGUCGGCUUGAGUAGCGCAAAUAUGUGUGAGAAUCACAUACCCCGAAACCCUAAGGGUUCCUCCGGAAGGCUCGUCCACGGAGGGUUAGUCGGGACCUAAGGCGAGGCCGAGAGGCGUAGUCGAUGGAUACAGGGUGAAUAUUCCCUGACUACUAGGCUGGAGCUGAACAGGGACGCAUGAAAACUAGCUAUGCCCUAAUUGGANNNUUNGGGAGGAGUCUACGGACUCUGCGUAGUGAAAGAUAGUGCSAAGGGGAAAAGCNCUGUUUCAGUGUUGAAAGSSAGUACCCGUAAANCCCGAAACCGAMACAGKUAGGGAGRWUGAGAAWASCAMGGGGCGCGAGGUAACUCUCUCUAAGGAACUCGGCAAAAUGGCCCCGUAACUUCNGGGA